CUGCCAGAUACUUAAGAACUGCCAUGGGGACACUGAGGCACCAACACAGUAUUCAGAGAAAACAUUAAGAACAUUCUUAGUUCAUCACAUCGGGUAACCCAGAUUGACCUUGGGGAAUCCCUGCUUCUCUUUCCU